GCGAUGUUACUCAGAUUCUGACCUUGAGGGGAACCAGCCCAGCUGUCACAACGCAUUUUUACUGCGCAUCACAGGUAUUCAAACUUUCAGUCCAUGUGUCUUCGGUCAAGAGUUGGAACACCACAUGCCCCAGUUGAUGUCGGACUAACUCCCAGGUCGCCCACCAUAUAGUGCUGUACCAGGGCCCCACAGGGAACUGUGCUGGUACUGGAGACAGAACGCCUCUAGCUAAGAUAACAUCACUGGUGAAGAAUGACACCCACUCCAUUCAUGAAGUUGUUGCUGAACUGGAGAGCUCCGUCAGUUACAGACUGCUGCAUCUUCGGUGAAAGGAGUGUUAUCGUACCUCGUGCCCAGUAGCUGUUAGACUUUAUAACGAUAACUGCUCCUAUCAAAUUUAAUAGGUGUUUAUAUUUCUGUUGUUUGCACAGUUUUUUUAUUGUCACGUAUUGUAUAUAGACUUUUGCUUUUAAUGCACAGAUACAUAUAAACAUUGCGCGUUUCUUAAAUAAUCCUACUCAGUUGCACAUUUUUUUGGAUCAAAGUAUGCUUUUUGAAAACAUAUUUUAUGUUGUAAUUCAACCUUUACUGUAAAGUGUGUUAUUCUUAAUUAUGUUUUUAUAAAUUUUAUAUUUUCAUCUUUGUGUGAAUCUAAAUGUUUUGAUUACCUGCCUCUUUCAAUCUGGUUUUCGUAGGUUGCAUUCCACAGAAACAGCAUUAUUAUAAGUUUUUAGUGAUGUGUUGACGGCAGCUGAUUCUGGAAGCUACUCUGUGUUUGUUAACUGGACCUGACUUCAGCUUUUGACACUGUGGAUCACACUGUUCUUAUCAAGAGAUUAAGAGAUCUUUUUGGUAUUUCUGGCACUGUUUUAAACUGGUUUAACUCUUAUUUAUCUGAUAGGUCUUUCACUGUUUUUAUGAACAAUGUUCACUCUGAUGUUGCUCAGUUGUCAUAUGGGGUACCCCAAGGUUUAGUUUUGGGCCCACUCCUCUUUUUAUUGUACUUACGCCCACUGGGCUUUAUUUUAAAUCGCUACAGUAACGUCUCAUUCCAUGUUUAUGCUGACAAUAUUCAACUAUAUUCUUCAUUUCGAUCUUCUGAAUUUUAUAAACUGACUGAACACAGUAAGCUUGGCUUAAUGACAACUACCUGCAGUUAAAUGCAGGCAAGACUGAGACGCUUAUCAUAGCUCCUGAUGAUAAAAUCACGGAAAUCAGGAAGCAUCUUGGGUUUUUAAACCCUUUGAAUAAAAAUAGCCUCAGAAAUUGGGGUGUUCUUUUCGACAGUUCUCUGUCAUUGGACAAUCAUUGCAAAUUGUUAGUUCGCAACUGUUUUUACCAUUUAAGGAAUAUUUCGAAGUUGUGAGCUAUUUUAUCACAGAAGGAAUUAGAAAUGAUUGUCCAUGCUUUUAUUUCUUCUCGUUUAGACUAUUGUAACGGCCUUUUAGUGGGGAUAAGUAAAUCCUUCAUGGCUUGCCUUCAGUCUGUGCAAAACGCUGCUGCCAGGCUUUUAACUAGAACCCACAGAACAGAUCACAUAACUCCUGUUCUGGCCCCUCUGGCUCCCGGUGUAUUUUAGGACUCAUUUUAAACUUUUGGUUUUAACUUUUAAGGCACUUCAUGGUGAGGCUCCCAAAUAUAUAUUGGACCUUUUGAAGCCUCUCUGUCCGUCUAGGACUCUGAGGUCUUCUAAUCAGAUGCUGCUGUUGGUUCCCAGAACUCAUUUUUAAACAUGUGGUGACAGAGCAUUUCAGGAGGUGGCCGCGAGGCUCUGGAACGCUCUGCCUCUAUCAAUGCGCUGCUCCGAGUCAACGGACGCAUUUAAAAAAAGUCUCAAGACUUAUCUCUUUAGACUGGCUUUCGGUUAAUUUUGUUCAUUGAUUUCAGAUUUUUUAUUAUUGAUGUGUUUCCUUUUUUGUAAAGCACUUUGUGAUUUUUAUGUCUGUGAAAGGUGCUAUGUAAAUAAAGUUUACUUACUUACUUACUUGCACUUUGUUGCACCUGAAUUUGCCCACUUAGGGAAAAUGUAUAAUAAAAUAUAAUAUUUUUACUCUA